rnacentral:rRNA from 1 species
GAUGAACGCUGGCGGCGUGCCUAAUACAUGCAAGUCGAGCGAACGGACGAGAAGCUUGCUUUUCUGAUGUUAGCGGCGGACGGGUGAGUAACACGUGGAUAACCUACCUAUAAGACUGGGAUAACUUCGGGAAACCGGAGCUAAUACCGGAUAAUAUUUUGAACCGCAUGGUUCAAAAGUGAAAGACGGUCUUGCUGUCACUUAUAGAUGGAUCCGCGCUGCAUUAGCUAGUUGGUAAGGUAACGGCUUACCAGGGCAACGAUGCAUAGCCGACCUGAGAGGGUGAUCGGCCACACUGGAACUGAGACACGGUCCAGACUCCUACGGGAGGCAGCAGUAGGGAAUCUUCCGCAAUGGGCGAAAGCCUGACGGAGCAACGCCGCGUGAGUGAUGAAGGUCUUCGGAUCGUAAAACUCUGUUAUUAGGGAAGAACAUAUGUGUAAGUAACUGUGCACAUCUUGACGGUACCUAAUCAGAAAGCCACGGCUAGCUACGUG